rnacentral:lncRNA from 10 species
UUGCGCCUCUAUGACCCCAGGCUUGGCUCUGAUCCUCACUCCGGAUCUUGCUCCUGAUCUCUGGAGUGGUAGAAAUAAUCCAGCCCACACGUUUUAACUUGAAUGGAUUUCUGUAAGUGACUGCAUCUCUUUGAUCUGAGGCUCCUGUCUGCAAGGACAAGAACGAUGUAAUUGGAACCACCAAUGGCAGACACAGAAAGAAAACAGGAUUGACAAGCUGGCACCAUGUGAGCCCAUGAGAGCCAAACCAUGGCAAGGGGAUUGCAGAGAGUCAGAUUCUCCACUGAGCCCUGCCCCGGCAGGAAGGCAAGCUCCAGUCAAGGGUGGAACAAGGUGACGCCCACGUUCAGCCAUAGGAAGCUCGCACAUCUCCUGCCACCAGCCACGACAGCCCCCGUCCUGCACAGGCAGGCCCGAAUCUUGGGAAACACAAUGGCUGCCGCCAUCACAGUUAUAGAUAUUCACAGGUCUCAGAGAAGGACUGGCCCCAUGGAAGAUACCCGUGUUUCAUGUUUUUACAUCAUCAGACUCCCAGUUUGCAGAUAGUGGCACGUGGUGACACCUCCUCACUGUGUGAUCCAGGGGCCUUCCCUGAUGUGGUCCUGGAUGUUUCUGUACUGAUGGCCUCACUCCCCUGGCUGCUUGGCUCUGUACUGGGAUUUUCAUCUCAGGAUGUGUGAAACCAGCCUGAAGACAGUUCUUGUAAAAAUGUCCUUGAAACCAUGAAAUUGGCGCAAGACCGAUCAGAACUGAGAUAGGAAAGUCACUCAAAGAACUCGAAAGCCUACCAGGCCAGAAAGGGUGGUCUACGACUUAAUUGGUUGUAUCAACCCAUGUAAGCAAGGACUAUGUCCUUCAGAAAUGGAUGAACGAGAAUGGAAAGCUGGAGGAAGGAGAGACAGUCACACAUGGGCAGUGCUCAUCAGGAAGGGCUCUGCUUGGCAACAGUGCGUCUGAUCCACCUGUCAGGUAUAUCCUUAUUUUGAAGGUGAGACUUCCUGGGAUUUUGGAGACUGAUGCUAAACUCUGAGCUCCAAGAAAGCAGGAACAAUGUAUCUAACUUGUUCACAGGGCCUCAUGCAAUGUAGGUAUUUGAUGAGUGUUUGUGGAAUGAACUCAUUGACUCUUUUAACAUUCAAAUCUUUCAUAUAUGCAUAUAAAUACAGAAGUUAUGUAUUGUA